UUGACUUGGAAAAAGUAAGCGACAUUUGAAUGUCCAAAUGCGCUUCCUCUAUCAGACCAUCUCAUCGGACCUCCACCAAUGGGCCACCGCGCCAGAGGUUGCCUCCAGCAGCGGUGGUGCACCUGAGCUAAGGUAAAGGCCACCAUUCGCUACGCAAUGACAUGCUGGUUAUGAAUAUGGGGAUAUGUUCACGAAUUUUCAAAGGACAAAACCUAAUCGAAGGCAAACAACUGAAGAACCCUAGGUGGUUCCAGUCAAAUUAAAUGGCAACUGUGAGGAAUCAACGCCUACAACAUUAGGGCUUGGACUCCGCUCCCCGGAUCCUACAUCUUGGUAACCAGGAAAAAGAAAAAUGCAAUUGUUCAAAGUUAACUCACCAGAUAAAUAGAUCGAAGACACGUAUCAGGUGUUAGAUGGCAUGUUGAUGCAGGGACAGUCAUGGUGUUGCAAGGCAAGCAGGGCAAAUGUUUAUUGCUGCAGAAUCAUGGACUUGUGAUGCCUUGAUGAUGAUAACAUGGUGGUAUGGAAUGAUAUGCAUUGCAGGGCCAAGGUAAGGUUUCAGGUUGCAACAAGCAAGGGCAAAAGGCCAAGUUUCAGCAAGUUAACAACAUGUGGUAAGUUUUGGUUUGUUGGCUUUUGACAAAUGGUUUUCAAUGUGUUUUAGGAAAUGUUUAUGUAAUGUAUGUGAUUGUAUGGUGUUGGAUUUGUUUUGCUUGAUACUUUGCCAUGAACAGUUUCAUUUCCUUGGUUGGUUUUGCUUUGUUUCCACUCUUGUUCUGUGGUUCAGUUUGUCUACUGCAGGGCCACUUGCAGGUUCAUCAUGGCAUUUUGAUUGGUGGCAUGACAGCAAAGUAAUGGCAUGUUUAUGUGCAAGAUGGUUCAAUUGGUUUGCAACAUGUUCAUUUCCAUUGCUGGUUUUGGGUUUAUUGCAGCAUGGCCAUAACUAGCUUCAUGUAGCAUGGUCCAAAUUAUGGCUUAUGGUUUGCAAUUCUGACUUGGUAAAGACAUUGCAGCUGGGUUCAUAGCAUUGUUUGAUGCAGGUACAUCAGAUCACCAGAAUAUUUGCCAAGUUAGUAGCAAAGGUUUUGUCAGCUACCUCGGAAAAGGUCAUAGUCAUCUUCAUUUGAUCAUUGAAUAAUCUUCCCUCAUGCUCACUACAAUCUGCUAAUGAUGGAGCUUGGAAAAGGUGUCCUUCCAUAACAACAUUCCCUUUUCAAGAGUGUAUGGACAAACUGUAUUUGCAGUAGACUGGUUUGUCUUGAUGUUGAACUGUCUUGCUCAUGGUUCUGGUGCAGCCAGGUUAGUGUAUAUUGCUCCUUAUGUUGUUCUGGUUUAUGCUAGCAUGUGCUUGUUGAUCAAUGCUUGGAUGGUUGUGUAGCAUGGUGCAUUGCAUCUUGGUUUGGUUUUGUAGGUUUGGUGGACAUGACCUUGAACAUGGGCAAUGUUACUUGUAAAUGAAGAAACAUGGUAAAAGUAAACCAACAUGACUUUUGGAUGAUGGAUCAAGGUAAAAAUGGAUGGGAUUAGGUCUUAGGUGGUCAAAAGGGGUGAGUUGACUUUGGUCAAAGUUGACCAAAAAGUCAAUUGUUGACCAAAGUCAACACUUGGUCAAAGUUGCCAAAAUUUGUAAUUUUUUAUGUAAUGGUCAUUAUAAUGGUUUGUAAAUGGUUACUUGAAUGGAAAUUGGUGUUUAUGAAUGAAAUGGUUCUUGAAUGAAGUCUUAUAUGAACUUGAAUGGAUUGAGUUUGA